rnacentral:rRNA from 1 species
GACGAACCGUGCGAACGUUAUUCGGAAUCACUGGGCUUAAAGCGCGUGUAGGCGGCCCGGCACGUCGAUCGCUGAAAGCCCCCGGCUCAACCGGGGAACGGGCGUCGAUACGACCGGGCUGCGAGGGGGGUAGGGGGAGCCGGAACUCACGGUGGAGCGGUGAAAUGCGUUGAGAUCGUGAGGAACGCCCGUGGCGAAAGCGGGCUCCUGGGCCCCGCCUGACGCUGAGACGCGAAAGCUAGGGGAGCGAACGGG